GUAGCGCUCCCUUUUGGGAUCAACGAGCUGUGUGGCGCCUGUGCGGCUUCUGAGAGACCGGCUGGUGGCGCUUGGCGGCUUCCUGCCAAUCCACCCUUCUCCUCCCGCGCAAGGGGGCAAUCCCAAUCCCACCACCGGGAACACCCAGGCCAAAAGAACGGGAGUUACACUCAAAGUCUUCCCCCUUCUUAUCACUCCUGCCGAUUUCCCUCUUCCUUUUUGCACGCCUCCACUCUUCCCCACCGGAAACGCCGCCCCUUCCUCCUACAGUUCCUCCCAGCAGUCCCUCAACGCCUGUCUUCCCUCGCGCGUAGAGAGUGACUCGAAGGACCCCCUCUCCUCUUCGCUGCAGCCCCUCCCCAUGCACGCUGGGAGACUCUUGGAGGGGAUAAGGUGGGGCCCGGAGAGGAAGAGAAGACAAUCGGAUUGGAUAGGCAGCUGCCAUGGCAACUGGAGGCUGUGGUUAUAUUGUCAUAGUAACCGAUGUGUGCGGACAGGGUCACCCUCCCCUUGGCCAAUGGAUUCCCAGGAAACCACCCAGGGUUCCCCGUUGGCUUCCCUUCCAUCUAAAGGCCUCCCCCAAGUUAGGAAUCGAUAUAGUUCUCCCCGGUGGUGAAGUCCACUUCCUCCUCCCUUCCCACUUCCCACAGCAACUGGGGGGACACCCCGAGGCAUUCACCAUGGGCUUUUCCACCCGCCUGCGAGCGGGAACCACCUCCGUAGUUUCCUCUCAGAGCCGGGCGUGGAGAGGGCUGGGCCUGCGAAGAGGAUGCAUGGCCUGGAGGCUGGCGGGCGGCGGGCUGGAGUCGGGAGGGCGAGGCGACAGCGCCAAGCGGCGAGGAAGGGCAAGGGGUUUCCCCACAACUGCCUUGGGCUCUGGGAGGCGGGAUCCCGCCUGGACGGGGUCCCUGAGGGAGGAGAGCGGCACACGACAGCCGCGAUGCCUUCCCUGCCGACGGGGAUAGCCGACUUCUGGCGAGUCGACCCCUCCCCCAAAUCCACCCCACCCGCGUACUCCCUCCUGACCUAGCUGUCGCGAGCCUGCCGCGAGGAGGCCAGGGUGAGGGUGGGAACACAUCCUAGAAGGCUAACACGUGGUUUUCUAUCAUUUAAGCCGGGGACAAGCCGGAAGGCUGACUAGCGCCAUCACUCUGAUAGGCACCCCGCAGUGGGGAUCCUGCUUGAUUAUUAAAGGCAGACCUCCAAGUUCCUCCCUGCUCUGCAACCUUUCUCUUCUCACGGGUCUGCAGUGUUUUAAAAGUCGUCAUUCUGUGUCGUUGAGUUAGAGAGGAAAACAUCGGAUAAAAGAGGAUCAAGAAGAACGAACCCUAGAUACAUCUGUCUGGUGAAAGGAGUCUAGGAAAAGAAGUUUCAUUCUUAGAACAAAUCUUUUUGGAUAUUUAUUAUGUGUGUUUUGUGUCAGGUUUCGGGCCAAAAAGCUGAAAUAAAGAACGAAGUCAAUAAUAAUAUGAAGUGUAUGAGAAAUAGCUGGAAAAUUCAUCAUCCAUGACUUGAAGAAAUUGACGUUUUACAAGUUAUAUUUUCGGUUCGUAUUGUGGAGUCACUUAAGGAGCUAUCCCAAAGUACUUUAGGAUAUGUAACUAUAUAAAACCUUCCAAGAAUGCAGCCCUCAUAGGAUAGUUAAAAUAAGGAUUUUAAUGGGCUAUUUUGAUUUGGUUUGGUCUGGUUUGGCUACCUGAUUCCUGCUGUCUUUUUCUACGCCAGGUGAAGAGGCACUUUCAAGAUCCUUCUCUGAGACCUGCACCAAUAAGACUAUACCAAUGUUCAGUUGAAACAUCAGGUAUAAGUUUAGCGGAAACGAAAGUACAACCUGCUUUGAAAUAAAUUCCAAGGACAGAUUGUCAUUAACGAAAUAGAAAGUGGACUAUGCCCCUCAUGCUGCCAGCGCCUGGUAUGGUGCGGCGUGACACGCAGCGCUUGCGGCAGUACAAUGCCCCCAAUCACCCGCCCCGCCCCGACGCGCCGCCCACUCACGGCAAAGAGAGCCACCUAGUGAGGGAUUAUUCUCAUUUCCGCGGUGGGGUUCUGCUUUUCUUUCUACCAUGAGCGCCCAAGGAUAGACACUCCUACUACCUAUUACCUCAAAUAGCCUACAUUUCUUUCCGAAAAUUUAUUGGUUAGAUAUUUUUCUUUUUUUUUUUUAAUUUAAAGACCAGUGUGAUCGUGUAUUGGUUAGAUUUUUUAAUUGGUUAGAUUUCAACCAGAAUAAAAAUUGUAAUAAUUAC
rnacentral:lncRNA from 1 species